AAUAUGCAGUUUUUCCUGAAAUAUGUGUUGUGAACAUGUUCUUGUCUGUGUUUGUUUGCACAACAGGGGGGGGGGGGGAUCCACACCGCUGAAUCCAGAGCUGGUCCAUGCCUCUGGAUUCAGAUGAUUGAAGAGCUUCACACGUAAAAAACAUACCAAAGAAAUCAUACGAAUGAAUAGUUGAGAAAAAGAUGCCAUGGCAAAAUGCAAGAAUCAUAAUUUAUACAAGAACAGCAAUGAGCACGCAGGUCAUCGGGUUCGCCUCCAUUCUCCUCCAUCGAAGAGUCAACCACCAGGCCUUUCAGGUGGCUGUUGGCCUCGCUGGUGGGGGAUGAGACUCUCCGCUGUGCCUCUGGACCGCCGCUUCUGUCCAAGUCCACAGGGU